AGCUCCAAUAGCGUAUAUUAAAGUUGUUGCAGUUAAAAAGCUCGUAGUUGGAUUUCUGGCAGGAGCGGCCGGUCGCGCACUCUGUGCGUGAACUUGUGCUGUCUCUGGCCAUCCUCGGGGAGAUCCUAUUUGGCAUUAAGUUGUCGGGUAGGGGAUACCCGUCGUUUACUGUGAAAAAAUUAGAGUGUUUAAAGCAGGCUUAUGCCGUUGAAUAUAUUAGCAUGGAAUAAUAAGAUAGGACUUCGGAACUAUUUUGUUGGUUUGCGUUACGAAGUAAUGAUUAAUAGGGACAGUUGGGGGUAUUCGUAUUUCGUUGUCAGAGGUGAAAUUCUUGGAUUUCCGAAAGACGAACUACUGCGAAAGCAUUUACCAAGGAUGUUUUCAUUA
rnacentral:rRNA from 1 species